UACGUAGGGGGCAAGCGUUGUCCGGAUUCAUUGGGCGUAAAGGGUGCGUAGGCGGGUCUUUAAGUCCGGGGUGAAAUCCUGGAGCUCAACUCCAGAACUGCCUUUGAUACUGAGGAUCUUGAGUUCGGGAGAGGUGAGUGGAACUGCGAGUGUAGAGGUGAAAUUCGUAGAUAUUCGCAAGAACACCAGUGGCGAAGGCGGCUCACUGGCCCGAUACUGACGCUGAGGCACGAAAGCGUGGGGAGCAAACAGG
rnacentral:rRNA from 1 species